rnacentral:rRNA from 1 species
UACGUAGGGGGCGAGCGUUGUCCGGAGUACUGGGCGUAAAGCGCACGCAGGCGGUCCGUUAAGUUUGGAGUGACAGUUGGUGGCUCAACCACCAAAGUGCUUUGAAAACUGGCAGACUUGAGGGCUUCAGAGGGACACGGAAUUCCGGGUGGAGUGGUGAAAUGCGUAGAGAUCCGGAAGAACACCGGUGGCGAAGGCGGCCUGCUGGGCAGUGGCUGACGCUGAGGCGCGACAGCGUGGGGAGCAAACAGG